rnacentral:rRNA from 1 species
ACGGGUGAGUAAUGUCUGGGAAACUGCCUGAUGGAGGGGGAUAACUACUGGAAACGGUAGCUAAUACCGCAUAACGUCGCAAGACCAAAGAGGGGGGACCUUCGGGCCUCUUGCCAUCAGAUGUGCCCAGAUGGGAUUAGCUAGUAGGUGGGGUAACGGCUCACCUAGGNGACGAUCCCUAGCUGGUCUGAGAGGAUGACCAGCCACACUGGAACUGAGACACGGUCCAGACUCCUACGGGAGGCAGCAUG